AAGACUGUAUUUUCAGGGAUCAUUUCUAUAAUUCUUUACUUGGAAGUGUUUUUGAAAGUGUUUGUCUCUCAACCCACGAUGAUGAACUGUGAUGCUCCUUUCCGAGAAUGAUUUAAAGACUGAGCUGUGACUUUGGUUAUAAGCUCCGUCAUUGAUGAGUGUUCUUUAUUGUUUUUGGCAAUAUUAAUGAAAAGAGUUUGAUCUGAGUGGU
rnacentral:snoRNA from 1 species